GACGAACCGUGCGAACGUUGUUCGGAAUCACUGGGCUUAAAGGGCGCGUAGGCGGGCGAUCAAGUCAGAGGUGAAAUCCUGCGGCUCAACCGUAGAAGAGCCCCUGAUACUGAUUGUCUCGAGGGAGAUAGGGCAUGUGGAACUUCCGGUGGAGCGGUGAAAUGCGUAGAUAUCAGGAGGAACACCUGCGGUGUAGACGGCUUUCUGGACCAUAACUGACGCUGAGAUACGAAAGCGUGGGUAGCAAACAGG
rnacentral:rRNA from 1 species